GAUGAACGCUGGCGGCGUGCCUAAUACAUGCAAGUCGAGCGAACAGAUAAGGAGCUUGCUCCUUUGACGUUAGCGGCGGACGGGUGAGUAACACGUGGAUAACCUACCUAUAAGACUGGGAUAACUUCGGGAAACCGGAGCUAAUACCGGAUAACAUAUUGAACCGCAUGGUUCAAUAGUGAAAGGCGGCUUUGCUGUCACUUAUAGAUGGAUCCGCGCCGUAUUAGCUAGUUGGUAAGGUAACGGCUUACCAAGGCAACGAUACGUAGCCGACCUGAUAGGGUGAUCGGCCACACUGGAACUGAGACACGGUCCAGACUCCUACGGGAGGCAGCAGUAGGGAAUCUUCCGCAAUGGGCGAAAGCCUGACGGAGCAACGCCGCGUGAGUGAUGAAGGUCUUCGGAUCGUAAAACUCUGUUAUCAGGGAAGAACAAAUGUGUAAGUAACUGUGCACAUCUUGACGGUACCUGAUCAGAAAGCCACGGCUAACUACGUG
rnacentral:rRNA from 1 species